GAUGAAGAACGCAGCGAAAUGCGAUAAGUAAUGUGAAUUGCAGAAUUCAGUGAAUCAUCGAAUCUUUGAACGCACAUUGCGCCCGCCAGUAUUCUGGCGGGCAUGCCUGUUCGAGCGUCAUUACAACCCUCAGGCCCCCGGGCCUGGCGUUGGGGAUCGGCGGAGCCCCCCGUGGGCACACGCCGUCCCCCAAAUACAGUGGCGGUCCCGCCGCAGCUUCCAUCGCGUAGUAGCUAACACCUCGCGACUGGAGAGCGGCGCGGCCACGCCGUAAAACACCCAACUCUUCUGAAGUUGACCUCGAAUCAGGUAGGAAUACCCGCUGAACUUAUGCAUAUCAAUAAGCGGAGGA
rnacentral:misc_RNA from 1 species